GAUAUAGCAUCGGUGGUCUCCUUCCUCCCCAUGCAUGGGACACUCACUACAACAUCGCCUGUAGCUGGGUUUUGCACCUCGAUCGUCUUCCCGUCGUACGCAUCGAUCCACUUCCCUCCGAUCAGUCCCUGCGUCUUCAACAGCCCUAGGUUCCUCAGCCGAUCCACGGCGGCCUGCGGGUCCGUGCUCAUCGCGCGAGUGAGGAAAUUAGUCGGAUGAGUUGAGCGGCGGCGGAGAUUGGGGGAGAGGAAGUGGUGGCGUAGGAGUGUGAUGCGGUAGAUCGCCAUUGGUAUUUGUGAAGGUCGGGAUUCGGAUGAUGAAGAUGAUGGUAG
rnacentral:misc_RNA from 1 species